rnacentral:rRNA from 1 species
GACGGAGGGUGCUAGCGUUGUUCGGAAUUACUGGGCGUAAAGGGCGCUUAGGCGGCCUGGUCAGUCGGGUGUGAAAGCCCGGGGCUCAACCCCGGAACGGCACCCGAGACGGUCAGGCUGGAGACCGGGAGAGGAGGGUGGAAUAGCCAGUGUAGAGGUGAAAUUCGUAGAUAUUGGCUGGAACACCGGUGGCGAAAGUGGCUCUCGGGCCCGGUUUUGACGUUGAGGCGCGAAAGCGUGGGGAGCAAACAGG